rnacentral:rRNA from 1 species
GAUGGACGCUGGCGGCGUGCCUAAUACAUGCAAGUCGAACGAAACUUCUUUAUCACCGAGUGCUUGCACUCACCGAUAAAGAGUUGAGUGGCGAACGGGUGAGUAACACGUGGGCAACCUGCCCAAAAGAGGGGGAUAACACUUGGAAACAGGUGCUAAUACCGCAUAACCAUAGUUACCGCAUGGUAACUAUGUAAAAGGUGGCUAUACUACCGCUUUUGGAUGGGCCCGCGGCGCAUUAGCUAGUUGGUAGGGUAAAGGCUUACCAAGGCAAUGAUGCGUAGCCGAAUUGAGAGGUUGAUCGGCCACAUUGGGACUGAGACACGGCCCAAACUCCUACGGGAGGCAGCAGUAGGGAAUCUUCCACAAUGGGCGAAAGCCUGAUGGAGCAACGCCGCGUGGGUGAAGAAGGUCUUCGGAUCGUAAAACCCUGUUGUUAGAGAAGAAAGUGCGUGAGAGUAACUGUUCACGUUUCGACGGUAUCUAACCAGAAAGCCACUGCUAACUACGUG